AUUGAACGCUGGCGGCAUGCUUUACACAUGCAAGUCGAACGGUAACAGGGAGCUUGCUCCGCUGACGAGUGGCGAACGGGUGAGUAAUGCGUCGGAACGUGCCGAGUAGUGGGGGAUAACGCAUCGAAAGGUGUGCUAAUACCGCAUACGUACUGAGGUAGAAAGUGGGGGACCUUCGGGCCUCACGCUAUUCGAGCGGCCGACGUCUGAUUAGCUAGUUGGUGAGGUAAAGGCUCACCAAGGCGACGAUCAGUAGCGGGUCUGAGAGGAUGAUCCGCCACACUGGGACUGAGACACGGCCCAGACUCCUACGGGAGGCAGCAGUGGGGAAUUUUGGUCAAUGGGCGCAAGCCUGAUCCAGCCAUGCCGCGUGUCUGAAGAAGGCCUUCGGGUUGUAAAGGACUUUUGUCCGGGAGCAAAUGCCUGGUGUUAAUAGCAUCGGGAGCUGAGAGUGCCGGAAGAAUAAGCACCGGCUAACUACGUGUCAGCAGCCGCAGUAAAAC
rnacentral:rRNA from 1 species